UAAAUAAAUCGAAGGCCAAUCAAUACACUAUUGUGCCAUAUUGAUUUGCAAGUCGCAGUAGCCAAAAGUGAACAAUUUUAUUCAACUUUGCAAGAAAAUAACCGGCCGCCAUUUUGGUUCCCUUUACUUUGCAUCGAGAAAAAAUAUCACCACGCCCUGCCAUUUUUCGCCAUGACCAUGGAUAGCGAUUCGGCUGAAAAGGAAGUGGACAAGAACGCAAGGAAAGGUAUCAUAAGAAAAAUCGCACAGUGUAAAGCGUCGUUGACAAAGGCAGAAAAUUUUAUCCGCACAUUGGAAUCGCCAAUCAACAAGGACGUGGUAUCUGCGCGGCUACAACAACUGCAGGAGGUGCUGCCAAGGCAUGAGCAGCUACUGAUCGAAUUAAGUACUUUGGACGACACCCUUGAUGAAGACUAUUUCGGAAACGACGCGUUCGAGGACCGGUAUUUGGCGAUCGUGGCGAGCCUUCGAGGCCUACUGGCGCCGCAGCCGCCGUCGCCGGCUCCAGCAUCGGGCGCGCAGCAGUCUACAGACGCGUGCGCUACCAGCGUGAGGCUGCCAGAAAUAGACAUUCCUGCGUUUGACGGCAAGGACUACACAAAAUACCACUCGUUCAUCGAACUCUUUAGUGCAGUGAUAGAUAAUAAUUCUAAAUUAGCCUCAAUUCAAAAGCUUUUCUAUCUUAGAAAAUACUUAAAAGGUGAGCCAUUGUCAUUAAUCGAAGGAUUACCCGUCACCGGGGACUCGUAUGGAAAAGCUCUUGAAUUGUUGAGAAAUAGAUAUGACAAUAAGUUUCUUAUUAUCACUAACCAUGUACAAGAGCUGCUAGACUUCAAUCCACUAGUAAAGGGAGCGGCUACCAAUUUAAGAGAGUUAGUGUCACAUGCUCGCCAGCACUUAGGUGCACUGAAAACAUUAGGACAACCGACCGACAGCUGGGACAUGAUAGUUUUACCCAUUUUGUUGCGAAAGGUCGACCAGUUUACUUGCAGAGCCUAUCAUUCGGAGCGUGACACCACAAAGCUGCCCCUACUGGAUGACUUCUUCGCUUUUGUGGAGCGGAGAGCUAGCAGCUUCGAGGAGAGCCAAAGAAGUGAAGACAGUCACCUAUGGACUCAAGAGCUCAAGCUACCUGGCCACCAGAUGUCUCCAGGAGUUAGCAGACCGGUUUGGGAGCAAUAUGCCGCUGGCUGCUGAGGUCAUCCGGACAGCCAUGUACGUUGACGAUGCUCUUUUUGGAGCACAGACCAUCGAUGAAGCUCUUGAGGUUUAAGGCUCAAGCAGCCAGCCAGUUUAUGGGAUCCCUGCCCUCCGAUCGCGUCACCGAGAGCCACCCGUUCGACAAAGUUGGAAUCGACUUCUGUGGUCCGUUUCAAGUAAAACAAUCGGGCAUGCGGAGGGCCGUUGUCACCAAAGGCUACACACUGGUAAUUGUUUGCUUCGCCACUAAGGCUGUCCACCUUGAGCUAGUUUCAGACAUGACAACUCAAACAUUCUUAGCAGCCUUAAAAAGAUUCAUUGGCAGACGCGGUAUUCCCGCCAUUAUUAAUUGCGAUAAUGCACAAACGUUUAAAGGAGCCGACAACGUGCUCCACGACUUGUAUAAAUUAGUCAAUUCCAAAAAGCAUCAAUCUCAAGUGAGUGUGGCUGCUGUAGAGAAAGGAAUAACCUUUCGCUACAUCCCCUCCUACUCCCCCAACCACGGAGGCCUCUGGGAGGCCGCCGUUAAGAGUUUUAAGUUCCAUUUCAAAAGAGUGGUGGGGGAGAAUAAAUUCACGUACGAAGAAUUGACCACUAUUUUAUCCGAAAUAGAGGGUAUCCUGAAUUCCAGGCCCCUCACGCCGCUUUCAAGCGACCCUGCAGACCUAACAGCCCUAACCCCAGGACACUUCCUGACUGGUCGUCCACUCAUAUGUAUCCCUGAGCCGGAUCUAACCGAUAUCCCUCUAAAUAGACUAAGAUUCUGGAGGCGCUGUACUCAGGUCAAGCAACAUUUUUGGAAAGCCUGGUACAGCCAAUAUUUAUCGCAGCUAAAUGUUAGAAACAAGUGGAGCAAACAGUUACCAGAUGUGGAAGAAGGCAGUUUAGUUUUACUAAAAGGAGACAACGUUCCCCCGCUGCAGUGGCCCAUGGCGCGGGUGACGCGGGUGUUUCGGGGAAGCGAUGGGAGGGUAAGGGUCGCGGAGCUCAAAACCGCUACUGGUCUAACCCGUAGGUCUAUUAAUAAAAUGUGUAUCCUUCCCAUAGAUUAUUAAGUAACAAGCCAUUUUAAAACUGUUAAAUAAUUUUUAACCAUAGGUUUUUAAGCAAAUGUUAA